rnacentral:tRNA from 1 species
GGAGGGAUGGCCGAGUGGUCUAAGGCGGCGGUCUUGAAAACCGCUUCUCCUAACGGGGACGUGGGUUCGGCGACCCCGCUUAAGGCGGGGGAGGCGGAGUGAGUGAAAUGAGCGAGCACAUCCUACUCCUUCCU